AUGAUGAUGCUGCUUAGGUUCUUCAGGUUGGAAUUUUGUCUCAGAAUGAAACCUUCCAAGUAAUCAGAGCUUGGGGACACCAGAGUGAAAAGCAGGGCACAACUGCAGUGUUCCCUAAAUUCCUAAUUGGUUAGUUAGCUUGAUGUGUUUCAGUUGUAUAGUCUUGAAAGCAACUUCAGUCAACCAGCAGAUGGCACUUUUACUUUUCAAAUUGCUAUACAGGAAGUUACAAUGAGUUCCAGUUAAUAGCGAGAAGUGAGAGAAAUUUACCCCAAGAAGAGAAAAAUCAUUCUUGGAAGAGUUAUUAUGGGGAAAAUGUGUCUCUACUGAAGCUUUAUCAGCAAUCCUUGUUUCGAAAACAAGCCAAAAAUUUUAAAAUUCAGUUAUCACAGACAGAAAGUGAGGUGAAAUCUUCUGAACAGGGACACAGAAAAACAAAUACCACAUGAGUGUUUACCCUUCCCUGUGCUAUCCAAAGCUGAAACUAUAUAUUUUUGGAUGAAGUUACACUUUAAAAAUGUACCUGUUCUGACUAAUAAAUUUAAUUUAAGAACAAACCUAGGAUAUUGCCUGUACUAUCAAAAUGCAGGCAAGAAAAAAUCCAUAGCAGAGAGAAUGCAUGACUUCACAUGCAAUAAAAUCAAUGUUUUUACAUAUUUAAGAAUUGGCAACCCAUGGAGCCCAUCACAUGACACAAAGCUCAACUGUGUGUUCCAGGUAUUUCACUGUUUCUAAAGUGUGAGUUUUCUCCAUGUUUCCUAAGUUGGUUGGCAAUCAACUUAUUUUUCAAUUCUCCACAUAGAGACAUGUAAAAACACCCAAUUAAACAUGUGAUGAGAAUCCCCGCCUGCCCAUUUGUAAAUAAAAUGAUGACGUCGGCAUGGGGAGGGGAGCCGAGAUGGGCAGUAUAGAAUCCCUUCUUUCACCAUAAUCUCGAGAACUGAGCAGGCUAUGGCAAGCUGGAAGUUUUCUGACUUAAAGGAUAAUAUGCAGACCACAAUACAUCACUGGAGGGGAAAAAACUGCAGAGCAAAUGACUUCAGCAUUCAGCCCAGUUAUAUACUGCAGAUAGCCAGUGUGGUUUAGUGGUAUGAACAUUGAUUGGAUUAUGACUCUGGAGACCAAGUUUGAAUCCUGGCUCAACUAUGGAAAUUCAGUGAAUGAUUCUAGGCAAGUCUCACUCUCUCAAUCUUAGAGAGAGGCAAAAGCACCCCCCCCCCCACACACACACACACAACAUAUCUUGCCAAGAAAACCAUGUGGGCUGCCAUAAGUUGGAAACACAAUUAUGAUGACAACAACUUGCUGAGGAAAUACUUGUCUCUAAUCUGAAAAGCUCUGUCUCAUGGUCAGACUAAAAUGUAAAAUAAUCCUCCACCCAUAUAACCUCAUACAUAUUAUGGCAUGUUUCUGGAGUUUAUCAGACUAUUCAUAAGAAAAAAAUCUUUCAGCUGUUCUGCCAAAAUAUACUGAAUGAGGCUAUCAAACUUAACUCUGAAGAUGUUCAAAUAUCUAUGUAGGGGAAGAAGGUGAAAUUCAGUGGUCAAAUUACUGAAUGAAAAUAAUAUGGGUUGAAAUUCUAGAUCAGAAAUAUAAUUUAGCAUAUUUAACUAAGUAAUUCUUCCUGUCCAGAUCCUGAACCAUCCUGCUUAGUAGAGUGAGUGAAAGAGGUAUGUUCUCCAUUAGAAUGAAGCAGGCUGAUGUUUCCACCUUCUCCUACUAAUGAUUUCUAGUGGGAGAACUGGAAGCAAGAUUACACUGGAGAUUGCUGAUGGGAGGGGAUGGAAGCUGCAUCCUGAGCCACUGUGCUGCAGCCACAUCUACAGGAUAAUGGGCAGUGCACUCAUUACUGGGAGCAGCUAGUGCCUGGUAAGACAGGAUUGGGGGACUUCUGCAACCCUUACAUAUUUCCUUAACUAUAUACCUAGGGGCUGUGAAUACAAUUCCAUAACUGACUGUGAACUGCAGCCAACAUCUAUUGUAUUUAGCUCCUAUCCUGAACAUACUAAAGUUCUUUGCUUCAAAAGCACCAGAAGGACCAGCAAAAACACUCCUUUAUAUUUCCCCUUUAAUAUUUUGGCCAUGCCAGAGUUUAAUACCUUGGUCAAUAUUUAUGUAAGCAUAUGAUUUACAUUUUGUAUUCUCAAAUUCCUAAUCCUUAUUUGUAAGACCUUUUGAUAUGAAGGAAAUGUACAGAUACAGUAGUUAAUCUAGUUAAAGACAAUACAAUGCAAGAAAACA